rnacentral:lncRNA from 1 species
UAGCUUGGUAAAUUAUACUUGCAGAGUGUGAUUUAAAAUAACUGACUCCCUGUUGACCUAUUGUAAAAGUUCUGUUUUUGGGCUCACAUGCUCUGUAAAUGUGCACCCCAUCACGUGUGGUCCCAUCCAUGUGGGGCUGUGAGGCUGGCCUCCUUUCCAGCCCAGCCAAUGUUGUGGAUGAGUCCUGCUCACACUCAGGUCUUAGGAGGAGUCACCGCAGAAGUUUAAGAGAUGUCAUUAACGGGGCUUUGAGCAAGUUAUUUAAUUGGACCCCCACAAACACACUCCAGUCUGAAACUGCAGGGUUCAGAGGCCAUUGGCUGCCGACUGGCCACUCAAGAUAGCACCAACAGUUUUCAUCUCACCACCAAGCCCAGCCUUAGCCCUGCUGUAUUGCACAUCACAAAUGCUCCCCAAG